rnacentral:rRNA from 1 species
AGUGAACGCUGGCGGUAGGCCUAACACAUGCAAGUCGAACGGCAGCACAGUAAGAGCUUGCUCUUACGGGUGGCGAGUGGCGGACGGGUGAGGAAUACAUCGGAAUCUACUUUUUCGUGGGGGAUAACGUAGGGAAACUUACGCUAAUACCGCAUACGACCUACGGGUGAAAGCAGGGGAUCUUCGGACCUUGCGCGAUUGAAUGAGCCGAUGUCGGAUUAGCUAGUUGGCUGGGUAAAGGCCCACCAAGGCGACGAUCCGUAGCUGGUCUGAGAGGAUGAUCAGCCACACUGGAACUGAGACACGGUCCAGACUCCUACGGGAGGCAGCAGUGGGGAAUAUUGAACAAUGGGCGCAAGCCUGAUCCAGCCAUACCGCGUGGGUGAAGAAGGCCUUCGGGUUGUAAAGCCCUUUUGUUGGGAAAGAAAAGCAGCAGGUUAAUACCCCGCUGUUCUGACGGUACCCAAAGAAUAAGCACCGGCUAACUUCGUG